AUGUGUGCAUGCAAGCUUGCAUGUGUGUAUAUGUAUGCGCCAGGGAAAGGGUCAUGGGUGAACUGGUGUGUGGCUGGCACAGAGACAAGGGGACCUUCCCCACAGAGCACAGCAGGAAGGAAACCCGUGGCAGGGAAGGAAUUGAAACUCAUCACAAGAUCAGGGCAAGUUGGCAGAAAGAAAUCCCCCUGCACUCAGGGAGACCUUGCUCAGCUCUCCCAGCAAUCUGCUCUCUCGAUGGAGCUUGGGGCGGGGGUGCGCCUUCCGUGUCCCAUUGCCGACAUCCCUGGGGUUCUCGGGUUUCUUGGGCAGCUUCCCAAACCAGGUGCAUCCCUCGGCAGAGGCACCCAGUGCUGGGCUGCUAGCCUUGGUGGCCUCCUCCCCUGGCUUGGCCGUGACUCCUUACACCUCCAUUUCCUGCCACAGAAGGCGAGAGGAACUGACCCUGUGCAAGUUCUAGAAGGAAGAGGGCUGCCUGCAAGUUGCCAAAUGGCAAGCGAUCUAAGAAAAGGCGCAAGAUUGGAAAGUGUUACCCAGCAAUCUAUGGAUUCUGCAGUCCACAAGUGGCUCAGGAGCACCCCCACCCCGCUCCCAGGGGAGGAGAUCGUACUUCCCAGAGCUGGACCUGCCUGACCUUCAGGUGCCGAGGUGACCCCAGCUCUCAAGGCAGACUAUUUGGACUGGUUGGGCUCCUGAGUGGUCGCAGGAGGUAGAGGGGGGUUGGGGCCCUGCCACCACUGGGAGACACAAGGCCUGGUAAGCACUGCUUCUUCCCUGCACCCCUGCUUGGAGCCAUGAAAAGCAGACCCAGUUGGUGAGUCUUGGUGUCACUCACCAUUCGGAAUGUUUGGGUUUCUGGCCUUGGGCCAGACAGCCCCUCCUACUGGAGGGGGCCCUGAGGAGCCACAUCUGGGUGCACUGUUAGCCAGGUGCUCCCCAGGGUGUUGGAUACAUACCCACUGAUGCUUCCUUCUUCCCAUCCUGCUCCCCACUCCCAACCCUAUUUGAGGAGGGGGGAGUGCUUGUUCCCGAGGCGCUUAUUUAUUUAUUAUUAUGUUUUUGGCCGUGAGGCUUGUUGGAUCUUAGCACCCCCACUAGGGAUAGAACCUGGACCCUGCGCAGUGAAAGCGCAGAGUCCUAACUGCUGGACUGCCAGGGAAGUCCCUCUGCAGGUGUUUAGCAAUCUCUGGGGAAGGAGGAGGCAGGAGAGCACUGCUCAUGGACUUCCCUGGUGGUCUGGUGGUUAAGAAUCCGCCUGACAGUGCAAGGGACAUAGGUUUGAUCCAUGUCUGGGAAGAUUCCAUAUGCCGUGUGGCAACCAAGCUCAUUCACCAUAACUACUGACCCCACGUGCUCUAGAAGCCUUGAUUGGCAACAAGAGAAGCCACGGCAAUGAGAAGCCCGUGCAUUGCAAUUAGAGAGUAGCCCUCAUUCACCACAACUAGAGAAUGCCUGCACACAGCAACAAAGACCCAGUACAGCCAAAAAUAAAUAAAAUAAAUACAUACAUAAAUUUUAAAAAGAAAUCAAC
rnacentral:lncRNA from 1 species